rnacentral:rRNA from 1 species
UACCAGCACCCCGAGUGGUCGGGACGAUUAUUGGGCCUAAAGCAUCCGUAGCUUGUUCUGCAAGUCCUCCGUUAAAUCCACCUGCUCAACAGAUGGGCUGCGGGGGAUACUACAGGGCUAGGAGGCGGGAGAGGCAAACGGUACUCAGUGGGUAGGGGUAAAAUCCUCUGAUCCACUGAAGAACACCAGUGGCGAAGGCGGCUUACUGGUCCGGUACUGACGCUGAGGUGCGAAAGCGUGGGGAGCAAACAGG